AGAGUUUGAUCAUGGCUCAGAUUGAACGCUGGCGGCAGGCUUAACACAUGCAAGUCGAGCGGGGGAAGGUAGCUUGCUACUGGACCUAGCGGCGGACGGGUGAGUAAUGCUUAGGAAUCUGCCUAUUAGUGGGGGACAACAUCUCGAAAGGGAUGCUAAUACCGCAUACGUCCUACGGGAGAAAGCAGGGGAUCUUCGGACCUUGCGCUAAUAGAUGAGCCUAAGUCGGAUUAGCUAGUUGGUGGGGUAAAGGCCUACCAAGGCGACGAUCUGUAGCGGGUCUGAGAGGAUGAUCCGCCACACUGGGACUGAGACACGGCCCAGACUCCUACGGGAGGCAGCAGUGGGGAAUAUUGGACAAUGGGCGCAAGCCUGAUCCAGCCAUGCCGCGUGUGUGAAGAAGGCCUUAUGGUUGUAAAGCACUUUAAGCGAGGAGGAGGCUACUUUAGAUAAUACCUAGAGAUAGUGGACGUUACUCGCAGAAUAAGCACCGGCUAACUCUGUGCCAGCAGCCGCGGUAAUACAGAGGGUGCAAGCGUUAAUCGGAUUUACUGGGCGUAAAGCGCGCGUAGGCGGCUAAUUAAGUCAAAUGUGAAAUCCCCGAGCUUAACUUGGGAAUUGCAUUCGAUACUGGUUAGCUAGAGUGUGGGAGAGGAUGGUAGAAUUCCAGGUGUAGCGGUGAAAUGCGUAGAGAUCUGGAGGAAUACCGAUGGCGAAGGCAGCCAUCUGGCCUAACACUGACGCUGAGGUGCGAAAGCAUGGGGAGCAAACAGGAUUAGAUACCCUGGUAGUCCAUGCCGUAAACGAUGUCUACUAGCCGUUGGGGCCUUUGAGGCUUUAGUGGCGCAGCUAACGCGAUAAGUAGACCGCCUGGGGAGUACGGUCGCAAGACUAAAACUCAAAUGAAUUGACGGGGGCCCGCACAAGCGGUGGAGCAUGUGGUUUAAUUCGAUGCAACGCGAAGAACCUUACCUGGCCUUGACAUAGUAAGAACUUUCCAGAGAUGGAUUGGUGCCUUCGGGAACUUACAUACAGGUGCUGCAUGGCUGUCGUCAGCUCGUGUCGUGAGAUGUUGGGUUAAGUCCCGCAACGAGCGCAACCCUUGAUCUUAGUUGCCAUCAUUUAGUUGGGCACUCUAAGGUGACUGCCGGUGACAAACCGGAGGAAGGUGGGGAUGACGUCAAAUCAUCAUGCCCCUUAUGACCUGGGCUACACACGUGCUACAAUGGACGAUACAAACGGUUGCCAACUCGCGAGAGGGAGCUAAUCCGAUAAAGUCGUUCUCAGUUCGGAUUGUAGGCUGCAACUCGCCUACAUGAAGCCGGAAUCGCUAGUA
rnacentral:rRNA from 1 species